UAUUUUUUUUUCAAGCGACGGUUGGCAAACCCACUCUUUUCGUCAAAGAAAAAAAAAGGAAAUGAACGGAUAACCUCCGUAGUUCUUGGAUCGAAAGCGGCGAGCAGUUUCGGCGGCGACGGAGAGAGGUGUCGGCGGCGAGCUCGUGGUAGCUGCUGGUCGACCCCUGAUGAGUGCGGCACUGGGGGUGGAAGGUUGGCCGGAGGCAGCAGCGAGGCGAGCUGUGCUGCAGGAGGCUUCGCGGCGGGUGACGGCUUCGCCCGCCGGCGGCCGUGUCGCAGUCCGCAUCGAUCCCCAGCCCCCUUCGUUGCUCGUGGCGAUGGUCCCCUGCUUCCACGCCUGGAAGGCCAUCGACUCGUAAGUCUACAAGCUGUCCCACGGCUGCCUUCAUUUCCACCCAGGUUUUAGGUUACUCAAGAUCAACUGAGUGCACUAGGCAUCCAUAGUUGCAAAACGAUUCUGGAUUUUUGCUUGGUAAAUUUUCUGGAAUUACUAAUUU